rnacentral:rRNA from 1 species
CGUGACCUCAGGUCAGGCGGGAUCACCUGCUGAGUUUAAGCAUAUCAAUAAGCGGAGGAAAAAAAACUUACCAACAUUCCCCUAGUAAUGGCGAGUCGGGAAGAGCCCAGCUUGAGAAUCGGGCACCUCCAACAUCCGAAUUGUAGUCUAAAGAAGCAUUCUCAGCGGUGAACCGGGCCCAAGUCCCCUAGAAAAAAGUGCCGGAGAAGGUGAGAGCCCCAUUGUAUCUAGACCCUGUCACACCAAGAGGCGCUGUCCGCGAGUCGGGUUGUUUGGGAAUGUAGCCCCAAUCGGGUGGUAAAUUCCAUCCAAGGCUGAAUACGGGCGAGAGACCAAUAGCGAACAAGUAUCGCGAGGGAAAGAUGAAAAGGACUUUGAAAAGAGAGUCAAAGAGUGCUUGAAAUUAUCAUGAGGGAAGCGGAUGGGGGCUGACAGUGCACCCCAAUCGGAUGUGGAAUGGCAAGAGUCGGUCUGUCGAUGGGCUCGAGGCAUAGACUGACGCAGGACGCAGCGACGGCCCAAGCCUAAGCUUUCGGUGUGCCCAUAAAGAUAUUGUCACCAUGAUCAUGGAACGCAGUAGGCACCGUCUCGAUGUGCCCCGACACCGACAUGCUCCAGGCGUCGGCCUGCGGGCUCCCCAUCCAGCCCGUCUUGAAACACAGACCAAGGAGUCUAACAUGCGUGUGAGUCAAUGGGCUAGGAAACUCAUAAGGCGUAAGAAAGCUGAUUAGCGAAAUCCCUCACGGGUGCACCGUCGACCGAUCUUGAUCUUCUGAAAAGGGUUCAAGUGCGAGCUUGCCCGUCAGGACCUGAAAGAUGGUGAACUAUGCCUGAGCGAGGCGGAGCCAGAAGAAACUCGAGUAGAGGCCGGUAGUGAUACUGACAUGCAAAUCGUUCGUUUGACUUGGGUAUAGGGGCAAAGACUAAUCGAACCCUCUAGUAACUAGUUCCCUCUGAAGUUUCCCUCAGGAUAGUUGGAGCCCCCGUUGAGUUCUAUCAGGUAAAGCCAAUGAUUAGAGGCAUCGGGGGUGUAACGCCCUCGACCUAUUCUCAAACUUUAAAUAGGUAGGAUGACGCGGCUGUUUCCUUGAGCCGUGCCAUGGAAUCGGGAGCUCCGAGUGGGCCAUUUUUGGUAAGCAAAACUAGCGAUGCGGGAUGAAUCGGAAGUCAAGUUACGGUGCCCAACUGUGCGCUAACCCAGAACCCACAAAGGGUGUUGGUCGAUUAAGACAGCAGGACGGUGGUCAUGGAAGUCGAAAUUCCUUUAAGGAUCAGCUAGCCCCAAAAAUGGAUGGAGCUUAAACGCGUGACCUAUACCUGACCGUCGGGGCAAGGGCCAGGCCCCGAUGAGUAUGAGGGCACAGCGGUCACCGUAAAACCUGGGGUGAAAGCCCAGGUGAAACGACCAUCGGUGCAGAUCUUGGUGGUAGUAGCAAAUAUUCAAAUGAGAACUUUGAAGGCCGAAGAGGGGAAAGGUUCCAUGUGAACGGCACUUGUACAUGGGUUAGUUGAUCCUAAGAGACGAGAGAAGCCCGUCCGACAGUGCAUCUUGCACGAGAUUCGAAAUGGAAUUGGGUUAAAAUUCUUGAAUCGAGAUGCGGUGGCUGAUAGCAAUGUUAGGGAGUCUGGAGAUGUUAGUGGGGGCCUCGAAAGAGUUAUCUUUUCUGUUUAAUAGCCCGCCCACCUUGAAAACGGCUCAGCCGAAGGUAGGGUCCAGCGAUCGAAAAAGCAUCGCACAUCGAGUGGUGUUUGGUGCGCCCCCGGUGGCCCUUGAAAAUUCGAAGGACCGAGUGCCGUCCGUGCUCGAUCAUAUUCAUAACCACAUCAGGUCUCCAAGGUGAACGGCCUCUGGUCGAUGGAACAAUGUAGGUAAGGGAAGUCGACAAAAUGGAUUCGUAACCUCGAGAAAAGGAUUGGCUCUGAGAGUUGGGCACGGGGGUCCCAGUCCCGAACCCAUUGGCUAUCGAUGCACUACUCGAGCUACUCUCACGAUGAAAACGGGUCACCGCAUGCCGAUCAAAGGAUGGACUGGGAAUGGCUCCCUCGGGGGCCUUCCCCAAGCGACGAAUAGUUAACUCAAAACUAGUAUGAACAAAAGGAAUCCGACUGUUUAAUUAAAACAAAGCAUUACGAUGGUCGUUGAGGAUGCUCACACAAUGUGAUUUCUGCCCAGUGCUCUAAAUGUCAAAGUGAAGAAAUUCAACCAAGCGUGGGUAAACGACAGGAGUAACUAUGACUCUCUUAAAGUAGCCAAAUGCCUCAUCAUCUAAUUAGUGACGCGCAUGAAUGGAUUAACGAGAUUCCUACUGUCCCUGUCUACUAUCCAGUGAAACCACAGCCAAGAGAACGAGCUUGGUAGAAUCAGCGGGGAAAGAAGACCCUGCUGAGCUUGACUCUAGUUUGACUUUGUGAAAUGACUUGAGAGGUGUAGGAUAAGUGGGAGCCUGAGGGCGAAAUUAAAAUACCACUACUUUUAACGUUAUUUUACUUAUUCCGUGAAUUAGAGGCGGGGCACGACCCCUUCUUUUGGACCCAAGGCUAGCCUCAGUCGGUCGAUCCAGUGAAAGACAUUGUCAGGUGGGGAGUUUGGUUGGGGUGGCACAUCUGUUAAAAGAUAACGCAUGUGUCCUAAGAUGAGCUCAACGAAAACAGAAAUCUUGUGUGGAAUAAAAGGGUAAAAGCUCGUUUGAUUUUGAUUUCCAGCACGAAUACGAAUCGUGAAAGCAUGGCCUAUCGAUCUUUUAGACCUUCGGGAUUUAAAGCUAGAGGUGUCAGAAAAGUUACCACAGGGAUAACUGGCUUGUGGCAGCCAAGCAUUCAUAGCGAUAUUGCUUUUUAAUCCUUCGAUGUUGGCUUUUCCUAUCAUUAUGAAACAGAAUUCACCAAGUGUUGGAUUGUUCACCCACCAAUAGGGAACAUGAGUUGGGUUUAGACCAUCGUGAGACAUGUUAGUUUUACCCUACUGAUGGCGGCAUCACGAUAGUAAUUCAACAUAGUACGAGAGGAACCGUUAAUUCGCACUAUUGGUCAUCACGCUUGGUUGAAAAGCUAGUGGCGCGAAGCUACCAUGCACUGGAUUAUGACUGAACACCUCUAAGCCAGAAUCUGGGCUAGAAGUGAUGCGUGCGCCUGUCGCCCGAUUGCUGACCCACAGUAGAGGCCUAUGGCCCCAAAGGGCACGUGCCAUAGGUGCAGCCCUCAUAGCAGACGAGCCUCGCAGGCCUCCUUGGAGCUCAAUUCCCACCGAGCGACAGGUAGAAUCCUUUGCAGAUGACUUAAAUUCAUGAUGGGGUAUUGUAAGUGGCAGAGUGGCCUUGCUGCCACGAUCCACUAAGAUUCACCCCUUUUGUCGCUUCGAUUCAU